AACGCGCUUGGCUGUGUGCUGGCCCGGGUGAGGGUCCCGGGCACCCACCGCUCUCUGGAUCUCUGCGUGCGGUUAGAUGGCGAAGGAACAAAAGGUGUUUAUAGGCUGGUUAUAGGCUUUUACUGCACAGAGGACUCGUAGAUGCGGAGCCGCUGAAUGAAGGGGCUUUAUGUAGUCACGUGCUUUAUUCUCUAGGACGGACCCGCAGGCAAUACUGGUUUGGAGUUCCUGGAGCCCUCGACACAAUGAGAGCAGCCUGAGUGUGUCUGGGCAUUUGCCGAACAGCUUUCUGUUGUUCCACGUAUCAGAAAAAAUCGAGGGAGCACUAGUUUCACAGAUGGGUAAUUAAGACCCAGAGAGCAGAAGUGAGUCACCCUAAAUCAUUAGGGCAUUUAGUGGCAGAGCCAGGAUCAGAACCUGUGCUUGGAGCUCCCAUUUCCAUAACUCCGGAGUCCCCCUCGAUUCUGGAGCGGAAGUGUCAUACAAUUUUUAAAAGUGUGAAUAUUAGUGAAUCCCCAAAUUCAGGAAUUAAGAGGACUUGAAAGCACGGAUAUGUUAUUUCUUUAACACAGGCAGGUGUGUAUAAUGCGCCUGGUACAUUGCUGUGCCGUAGGACUUGUUGACUCUUCAGUAAAGUCAGUGAAGUUGAUCUGCUCUCAUAAUUUCCUUUCGGGUUGGUGAGCACAGAGCAUCGCAGUCGUGUGCCUGUGAUACCGGUUCCAGUUCCCGUUUGAAAAAGAAGAUCCUAGACAAGGAGCAAAAUAUAUUUGCGUGCACCGAGAGUCCUGUCACUCUUUUUGUUCAACAGCUUGCACACGGCACUGCCCCCAACAUCCAUCCCAUCUUCCCCCUCUGUGAUGCAACAUACGGUUUAGCAGUUAAGAAUCCGCCUGCCAAUGCAGGGGACAUGGGUUCGAGCCCUGGUCCGGGAAGAUCCCACGUGCCGUGGAGCAACUAAGCCUGUGAGCCACAACUACUGAGCCCACGCGCCUAGAGCCCAUGCUCUGCAACAGGAGAAGCCGCCACAAUGAGAAGCCCGUGCACCGCAAUGAAGAGUAGCCCCUGCUCAACGCAACUAGAGAAAAGCUGCU